UACGUAGGUGGCAAGCGUUGUCCGGAUUUACUGGGCGUAAAGAGCGCGCAGGCGGUCGUUCAAGUCGCGUGUGAAAGCCCCCGGCUCAACUGGGGAGGGUCACGCGAUACUGAUCGACUCGAAGGCAGGAGAGGGAAAGUGGAAUUCCCGGUGUAGUGGUGAAAUGCGUAGAUAUCGGGAGGAACACCAGUGGCGAAGGCGACUUCCUGGCCUGUUCUUGACGCUGAGGCGCGAAAGCUAGGGGAGCAAACGGGGAUUAAGAUACCCCG
rnacentral:rRNA from 1 species